GAUGAGCGUGGUCUUUUCGUGUUGUUGUUGUGGAGUUUAUGGCAUCAAAGAAGUUUAUGGUGACCGCCCGAACAUGGACUGCGGCCGAGGGAUGUUUUGCCCGUUUUGUGGCAAACACAUGAACAGCUUAACGCGGUUUUGCUUUACGUGUGGUCGGUGUUUGGAGUUUUUAAAGGACGCGGACAAGACGGAAACAUUGGAAACACAGGGGACGUCUCGACAGCCGGACAGUGCUAUGCAAAAACAACCAUGCCCAUCAUACAAACAGUUCAUGGAGUACAGAAGCUCGAAAUCAAAAGAACGACAGUCUUUUAACUAUGGGCCAAAAGGAAGAUAUAGGCCUAAAGAAAGAAAACACGUCCAGAUAAACGUAGGAUUGAUGGUGCCAAGUGGAACUGAUUUAAAACCUCUAAGAGGGAAAACACUACAGUUAUUUACAGACCCAGAGGUAGCAGCACCUGAUCUACUGAAACAAGCUGUCCAGAAAAUGACAACAUUUAACAAGGACAUGCACGAAGGACCUUAUGUCCUUUUGUAUCCAGACUGCUCAGAGGUGGUUCAUGUGCCUGGGUCAGAAAGGCCAUUCAAAUUGGCAGAAUAUAAAAGGAAAUAGGAAAGGCAUAUUCCAGGAUCACUUUUUUCAUUUGCCUAGAAAAACACUAUAAAAGAGUGGAUGAUACCUCAGACUCUGAUUCUGAAAUUGUCAUCACAACAAGGAGCACAGCUGAACUCAAUCGUGCUGACACUUUGGUUUUUGAACCACAAAAUCGAAGUACUCCCAAACACAAGCUGGACGGUGAAAGGUAGGUGUUGCACACUUGGACACAAAGGAAUUUUCACACGUGCAAUAAUAAUUCAUAUUUUGUUGGGCUACAGUGCUUUCACUACCAGGUAAAGUGCAAUUUCACCUUUUUUUUUAUUUAACUCACAAAACUGAUAAAACUACUAGCAGAUAUUUCACUACUUAUUCACAUACACAUUAUACAUACAUUUAUAUUGCUGCACAUAAGCUCAACGUUGCUACAUGCUAUCAGCUGUUUCUGUAACUGACUGC